rnacentral:tRNA from 1 species
ACUUGAAUAGCUUAUGGUUUAGAGCGCGACACUGAAGAUGUCGAUGAGGCAUUUUAUGUCUUUGGGUA